rnacentral:rRNA from 1 species
GAACGGGUGAGUAACACGUGAGUAACCUGCCCUUCAGUGGGGGACAACAGUUGGAAACGACUGCUAAUACCGCAUAAGACCACAGUGCCACAUGGCACGGUGAUCAAAGGAUUAAUUUUCGCUGAAGGAUGGACUCGCGUCUGAUUAGCUAGAUGGUGAGGUAACGGCCCACCAUGGCAACGAUCAGUAGCCGGACUGAGAGGUUGAUCGGCCACAUUGGGACUGAGACACGGCCCAGACUCCUACGGGAGGCAGCAGUGGGGGAUAUUGCACAAUGGAGGAAACUCUGAUGCAGCGACGUCGCGUGAGGGAAGAAGGUUUUCGGAUUGUAAACCUCUGUCUUCGGGGACGAAACAAAUGACGGUACUCGAGGAGGAAGCCACGGCUAACUACGUGCCAGCAGCCGCGGUAAUACGUAGGUGGCAAGCGUUGUCCGGAAUUACUGGGUGUAAAGGGAGCGCAGGCGGAACUGCAAGUUGGGUGUUUAAUCUACGGGCUCAACCCGUAUCAGCAUUCAAAACUGUGGUUCUUGAGUAAUGCAGAGGUAGGCGGAAUUCCCGGUGUAGCGGUGGAAUGCGUAGAUAUCGGGAGGAACACCAGUGGCGAAGGCGGCCUACUGGGCAUCAACUGACGCUGAGGCUCGAAAGCAUGGGUAGCAAACAGGAUUAGAUACCCUGGUAGUCCAUGCUGUAAACGAUGAUUACUAGGUGUGGGGAGAUUGACCCUC